rnacentral:tRNA from 1 species
GGCCGGAUGGUCUAGAGGUACGAUUCUCGCCUCGGGUGCUAGAGGUCACGGGUUCGAACCCCGGUUCGGCCC